CUGGCAUUUAGGUGUUAUAUUGCAUUUUCAGUCUAUUAUUGCUCUCUGUUUGGCAUGCCAUGGCAUUCUGUAUUAUAUUGCGACUACGUACAAUUUUCUGCUGACGGUACGUCUAAAACAACCUAUUAAUGAGUGUUAGCGAAGGCAAACAACGUGGCCAAAUGUAUGUCGAUGUAUACCCAUGAUACGAUCCUUAUGUAAGUUUGUUAACUGUCGGAGUGUUUUGGCCAGGAAUGAUCUAGCAGCGCCAUCGUACGCAGAAAUAUGUUCACUACUGGCAAUGAGAAGUCGCCAUGACAACCGACGGAAGGAGCCUAAGAAGAAUACUGAUGCUGAUGAUGGUGGAUGCGGUGUCCAGCCUUCUCCUCGACCACACUGACAACGAAGAAGACAUCCUGUGAUGUGCUACUGCAGAGCAAACUGCUAACAAGGCAAAGAAAAGUGCCGGCGGGUGCGAAGAAGGUUGCGAUGAAGACGACUGCUUCGUGGUCGAAGCCGCUGAGUAUGGUCACCUGGAAUCGUGGUGCUACGGGAGAUGUGGAUGCAGCAACUGCAAGUGCGCUGAGAUAAAAUCGUGUGAUGGUGGCUACAUCUGCUCACGUCGGACUCCGAUAGACGGCUCACAAAAGUUCCGCGCACGCUAUUUUUGCAACAAGUUAUGUGGCUACUCGUACUGCGACUGCAUCUUUAAAUGUGAUUUCUAGAUCAGUCAGCCAGAUAUCGAGAAAUUUAUUAAUGCCAGUAAUUUUCGGAAAGACGUCGAUUGCUCGCCUUGUACGAAUCUCCUAUUUCAAGUAGAACUAUGACGUAGUAGCUUCCAACUAUUAGCUAGCCCAACUACUAUAGCUAGCUACUUCCAAAGACUAGUAGGUUUCAACAUGUUCUUAUAAUAAAACGCGUUUUACCAGCGGAAACAAUAAUACCAAACAGACUUACAUAUGUCACAACCAAUUUCGUUUCUGAUAAGUUCAAGUCGAGUAUUUUGUGUAUGCGGCAUGUUACCGCGUUACUGUGCAUUAUG